rnacentral:rRNA from 1 species
CUACGUGCCAGCAGCCGCGGUAAAACGUAGGUCACAAGCGUUGUCCGGAAUUACUGGGUGUAAAGGGAGCGCAGGCGGGAAGACAAGUUGGAAGUGAAAUCCAUGGGCUCAACCCAUGAACUGCUUUCAAAACUGUUUUUCUUGAGUAGUGCAGAGGUAGGCGGAAUUCCCGGUGUAGCGGUGGAAUGCGUAGAUAUCGGGAGGAACACCAGUGGCGAAGGCGGCCUACUGGGCACCAACUGACGCUGAGGCUCGAAAGUGUGGGUAGCAAACAGGAUUAGAUACCCUGGUAGUCCACACUGUAAACGAUGAUUACUAGGUGUUGGAGGAUUGACCCCUUCAGUGCCGCAGUUAACACAAUAAGUAAUCCACCUGGGGAGUACGACCGCAAGGUUGAAACUCAAAGGAAUUGACGGGGGCCCGCACAAGCAGUGGAGUAUGUGGUUUAAUUCGACGCAACGCGAAGAACCUUACCAAGUCUUGACAUCCUGCGACGGACAUAGAAAUAUGUUUUUCCUUCGGGACGCAGAGACAGGUGGUGCAUGGUUGUCGUCAGCUCGUGUCGUGAGAUGUUGGGUUAAGUCCCGCAACGAGCGCAACCCUUAUG